UACACUCCUACGGGAGGCAGCAGUGGGGAAUAUUGCACAAUGGGCGCAAGCCUGAUGCAGCCAUGCCGCGUGUAUGAAGAAGGCCUUCGGGUUGUAAAGUACUUUCAGCGGGGAGGAAGGCGAUAAGGUUAAUAACCUUGUUGAUUGACGUUACCCGCAGAAGAAGCACCGGCUAACUCCGUGCCAGCAGCCGCGGUAAUACGGAGGGUGCAAGCGUUAAUCGGAAUUACUGGGCGUAAAGCGCACGCAGGCGGUCUGUCAAGUCGGAUGUGAAAUCCCCGGGCUCAACCUGGGAACUGCAUUCGAAACUGGCAGGCUAGAGUCUUGUAGAGGGGGGUAGAAUUCCAGGUGUAGCGGUGAAAUGCGUAGAGAUCUGGAGGAAUACCGGUGGCGAAGGCGGCCCCCUGGACAAAGACUGACGCUCAGGUGCGAAAGCGUGGGGAGCAAACAGGAUUAGAAACCCGAGUAGUCC
rnacentral:rRNA from 1 species